rnacentral:rRNA from 1 species
UACGUAGGUGGCGAGCGUUGUCCGGAUUUACUGGGCGUAAGGAGCGCGCAGGCGGUCGUACAAGUCGCGUGUGAAAGCCCCUGGCUCAACUGGGGAGGGUCACGCGAUACUGUUCGACUCGAAGGCAGGAGAGGGAAGUGGAAUUCCCGGUGUAGUGGUGAAAUGCGUAGAUAUCAGGAAGAACACCCGUGGCGAAGGCGGUUCUCUGGGACGGUACUGACGCUGAGACGCGAAAGCGUGGGGAGCGAACAGG